UCGGUCAAGGGUAUACGGUAGCUGCGCUCCCCUGCUAGAACCUCCAAACAAGCUCAAGGUCCAUUUGUAGGAGAACGUAGGGUAGUCAAGCUUCCAAGACUGCAGACACAUCCAAGUGAGGCACUGCAUGGGGCAGUCUGCCAUUGUUU
rnacentral:snRNA from 1 species